rnacentral:ncRNA from 1 species
UUAACGACAUCAUUCAUGGCGGCUUUUAACCGUGAUGUUAAAAGAGAAGCUAACUAAUAUCGGUAAAAUCCAUUUAUAAUAUUGGACAAUACCGAGGGAACUCCGAUAUUGUAUCGGAGGCCUCUAGAGACUAAACGUUAGCAAUCCUGAUUCAAGAAAACGAAAAAGGAUUAAGUUAUAGUCCAUACACUUAGCAAUAAGUGA